rnacentral:rRNA from 1 species
UAGGGAAUCUUCCGCAAUGGACGAAAGUCUGACGGAGCAAUGCCGCGUGAAUGAAGAAGGUCUUCGGAUCGUAAAAUUCUGUUGUUAGAGAAGAACAAGGAGUAACUAACUACUACUCCCUUGACGGUAUCUAACCAGAAAGCCACGGCUAACUACGUGCCAGCAGCCGCGGUAAUACGUAGGUGGCAAGCGUUGUCCGGAUUUAUUGGGCGUAAAGGGAGCGCAGGCGGUGACUUAAGUCUGAUGUGAAAGCCCACGGCUCAACCGUGGAAGGUCAUUGGAAACUGGGUCACUUGAAUAUAGAAGAGGAAAGUGGAAUUCCAUGUGUAGCGGUGAAAUGCGUAGAUAUAUGGAGGAACACCAGUGGCGAAGGCGACUUUCUGGUCUAUUAUUGACGCUGAGGCUCGAAAGCAUGGGUAGCAAACAGG